rnacentral:rRNA from 1 species
AUUGAACGCUGGCGGCAGGCUUAACACAUGCAAGUCGAGCGGGGUGAUGGUGCUUGCACUAUCACUUAGCGGCGGACGGGUGAGUAAUGCUUAGGAAUCUGCCUAUUAGUGGGGGACAACAUCUCGAAAGGGAAGCUAAUACCGCAUACGUCCUACGGGAGAAAGCAGGGGAUCACUUGUGACCUUGCGCUAAUAGAUGAGCAUAAGUCGGAUUAGCUAGUUGGUGGGGUAAAGGCCUACCAAGGCGACGAUCUGUAGCGGGUCUGAGAGGAUGAUCCGCCACACUGGGACUGAGACACGGCCCAGACUCCUACGGGAGGCAGCAGUGGGGAAUAUUGGACAAUGGGGGGAACCCUGAUCCAGCCAUGCCGCGUGUGUGAAGAAGGCCUUAUGGUUGUAAAGCACUUUAAGCGAGGAGGAGGCUCUUUUGGUUAAUACCCAAGAUGAGUGGACGUUACUCGCAGAGUAAGCACCGGCUAACUCUGUGCCAGCCGCCGCGGUAA